rnacentral:sRNA from 1 species
CAGCGUUGUACCUUUGCGAGGGACGGAAGUAGGGAAAUCGAUCCCGAAGGAACGCGCC